rnacentral:rRNA from 1 species
UACGUAGGGUGCAAGCGUUAAUCGGAAUUACUGGGCGUAAAGCGUGCGCAGGCGGUUUUGUAAGUCUGUCGUGAAAUCCCCGGGCUCAACCUGGGAAUUGCGAUGGAGACUGCAAGGCUAGAAUCUGGCAGAGGGGGGUAGAAUUCCACGUGUAGCAGUGAAAUGCGUAGAGAUGUGGAGGAACACCGAUGGCGAAGGCAGCCCCCUGGGUCAA